rnacentral:lncRNA from 1 species
UCGGAGAGUAUUCUAACAAAACCGGAAUAAUCUCUUGCCGUAGAUGAACAAACCCCAAAACCUCUCAAAUAUGCUAUUAAUUAAAAAUUAGGAUAAUACGUUGGAUAUGAGAGUUCCAUACUAUACUAUAGUACUGCUCAACCAAACUUAUCAGAUCAAGUGGUUAAAACACGUUAUGCUUUGAACAUUUUGAUGUUGAAUACUGCUUGUAUUUUGCAUCUCCAGUACAUCUGGUGACGU